rnacentral:rRNA from 1 species
ACAAGCGGUGGAGUAUGUGGUUUAAUUCGAUGCAACGCGAAGAACCUUACCUGGUCUUGACAUCCCGGAGACCCUUAGGAAACUAGGGGGUGCUUCCAUCUGGAAGAAUCUGGAGACAGGUGCUGCAUGGCUGUCGUCAGCUCGUGUCGUGAGAUGUUGGGUUAAGUCCCGCAACGAGCGCAACCCUUGCCUUUAGUUGCCAGCAGUUCGGCUGGGCACUCUAAAGGGACUGCCGGUGUUAAACCGGAGGAAGGUGGGGAUGACGUCAAGUCCUCAUGGCCUUUAUGACCAGGGCUACACACGUACUACAAUGGCCGAUACAAAGGGCAGCGACACUGCGAAGUGAAGCCAAUCCCGUAAAAUCGGUCUCAGUCCGGAUUGGAGUCUGCAACUCGACUCCAUGAAGCUGGAAUCGCUAGUAAUCGUGGAUCAGCAUGCCACGGUGAAUACGUUCCCGGGCCUC